rnacentral:lncRNA from 1 species
AUGGAAUUCAGGUUACUUUCUCCUAUGCUCCCUUUGUCUUCCUUGUGCAUUUUGGCUGGAGUUGCUCAUACUUCUUUCAUGUUCUUUGCCUUUCCAUUUGCUCCUAUUCAUUUUGCAGAAGAGGAGGAUGUCUGUCCCCCCUUCCCCUGCAUAGCUCCCUAUCAGAAAGUGCAGAAGAAUAUUCCCACCUGUUCCUUGUCACUCCGUAAUCCUGACCCUUCAAGGUUCACAGAACUACAGUCCUUGCAGUGGUUUGAGACAUCUGAGCCUAUUUUUUGUGUGGAAUAUACUGCAAAAAUGUUUUGUUAACAGCAUUUCAGGCUAGGCUGGUAGUCUAAAGAAUCAGCUUCAAACAAUGGAUAGGAGAUCAUUAUUUAACAAUGCACACGUGUAUGGAAACAGGGCAAAAUGCUUAUCCGCAGAUGUUCACAAAUGUGUAGAGAUGGCACCCAGUACAUUACGUGAGCUGUGAAAUGAGCUAGAGAAAGAUUUCCCUCAUUCACUGAUAGUGUAACAGUGUGUCAAACCAUACUUACAGCAGGUUAAAUCAGAUAGUUAUGUAUGGUUAGUUAUUCUCAGUUGUUUACUAUUUCAUCCUCUAUCACUUAAAGCUUCUCAGUCUCCCAGUGUUGUCCUUCUGCUUCAUACAUGCCUCACAUCUUCCUCUGCCACAAUCCCCUCCAGUUUGCCAGUGGCAUCAGCUUUGACGUGUCAUUUGUCAUCGUCUCCCAAAUAUCACCUUUGCCUUGCCCUACACUGCUCCUAUCCACGUGGCCUCUGCCUGUUUUUCAAAGAUGUUCCUCCAUGCUUAUGGGCUGAUAAUGACAAGGGUGAAGGUAAGCCAUGACUGGUGAAAUACUUUUAUUUUUUAUUUAAAUUCACACUUCAUUAUGUCACUAAGACCAUGCAUUAUCUGGAGCAGAGGCAGUCAUCAUAUAAUUUCACGUUUGCUUUUCCUUUUCUCAGCCCUGCACUUCCUUGUCUGUCUGUCUGCACUUUCAAGUGUGCCAGAUCUCUGGAAGCAGCCGCAGUGCAACACACGGGUUCCAGUCUAGCAAAGUACUUGACCAUAUGACUAACUUAAAGCAUCUAUUAAGACAUAUGCUUAUGUGCUUUGAUGAAUGCUUUGCCAAGCAACUUCUGUGUCUUGCUGGGAAAAAAAUAUAAUGAUAAUAUGCCAAGAAUUUGAAAUGACUAUGAGACAGUCAUUAAUGAAUACGCCGACAUGGAAUAUUUGCUUUUCCAAAUAGGCUUUUGCUAUGCCUUCUCCUUUGUGCGUGGAAUUUCAGAGCAAGGAUUGAGUUAUUUA